rnacentral:rRNA from 1 species
GUGGGGAAUAUUGCACAAUGGGGGAAACCCUGAUGCAGCGACGCCGCGUGAAGGAAGAAGUAUUUCGGUAUGUAAACUUCUAUCAGCAGGGAAGAAGAUGACGGUACCUGACUAAGAAGCCCCGGCUAACUACGUGCCAGCAGCCGCGGUAAUACGUAGGGGGCAAGCGUUAUCCGGAUUUACUGGGUGUAAAGGGAGCGUAGACGGAGCGGCAAGUCUGAUGUGAAAGACCGGGGCUUAACCCCGGGUCUGCAUUGGAAACUGUCGAUCUUGAGUGCCGGAGGGGUAAGCGGAAUUCCUGGUGUAGCGGUGAAAUGCGUAGAUAUCAGGAGGAACACCGGUGGCGAAGGCGGCUUACUGGACGGCAACUGACGUUGAGGCUCGAAAGCGUGGGGAGCAAACAGGAUUAGAAACCCCAGUAGUCC